AGGUCAAGUCAAAGAAAAAGCUUGUUAACACUCUAGAGGUCACAGUUUUGAUCCAAUCUUAAUGAAACUUGGUCAGAAUAUUACUCUCAAUAAAAUCUUGGACGAGUUCGAUAUUGGGUCAUCUGGGGUCAAAAACUAGGUCACCAGGUCAGAUCAAAGGAAAAGCUUGUUAACACUCUAGAGGUCACAAUUUUGGCCUAAUCUUAAUGUAACUUGGUCAGAAUGUUACUCUUAAUAAAAUCUUGGACAAGUUCGAUAUUGGGUCAUCUGGGGUCAAAAACUAGGUCACCAGGUCAAAUCAAAGGAAAAGCUUGUUAACACUCCAGAGGUCACAAUUUUGGCCCAAUUUUAAUGAAACUAAGUCAGAAUAUUACUCUCAAUAAAAUAUUGGACAAGUUUGAUAUUGGGUCAUCUGGGGUCAAAAACUAGGUCACCAGGUCAAAUCAAAGGAAAAGCUUGUUAACACUCUAGAGGUCACAAUUUUGGCCCAAUCUUACUGAAACUUGGUCAGAAUAAUACUCUCAAUAAAAUCUUGGACAACUUUGAUAUUGGGUCAUCUUGGGUCAAAAACUAGGUCACCAGGUCAAAUCAAAGGAAAAGCUUGUUAACACUCUAGAGGUCAUAAUUUUGACCCAAUCUUAAUGAAACUUGGUCAGAAUAUUACUCUCAGUAAAAUCUUGGACAACUUCGAUAUUGGGUCAUCUGGGGUAAAAACUAGGUCACCAGGUCAAAUCAAAGGAAAAGCUUGUUAACACUCUAGAGGUCACAAUUUUGGCCCAAACUUACUGAAACUGGUCAGAAUAUUACUCUCAAUAAAAUCUUGGAAGAUUUUGAUAUUGGGUCAUCUGGGGUCAAAAACUAGGUCACCAGGUCAAAUCAAAGGGAAAGCUUGUUAACACUCUAGAGGUCAUAAUUUCGGCCCAGUCUUAAUGAAACUUGAUCAGAAUAUUACCCUCAAUAAAAUCUUGGACGAAUUUGAUAUUGGGUCAUCUGGGGUCGAAAACUAGUCACCAGGUCAGAUCAAAGGAAAAGCUUGUUAACACUCUAGAGGUCACAAUUUUGGCCCAAUCUUAAUGAAACUUGGUCAGAAUGUUAUCCUCUGUAAAAUCUUGGACAAGCUUGAUAUUGGGUCAUCUGGGGUCAAUAACUAGGACACCGUGUCAAAUCAAAGGAAAAGCUUUUUAACACUGUAGAGGCCACAUAUAUGACUGUAUCUUCAUGAAUAUUAGUCAGAUUGUUGAUCUUGAUGGUCUCAAGGUCCAGUUUGAAUCUGGGUCAUGUAGGAUCAAAAACUAGGUCACCAGGUCAAAUCAAAGGAAAAGCUAGUUAACACUGUAGAGGCCACAUUUAUGACUAUAUCUUAAUAAAAAAUUCACUACCACGAAAGUCAUCUGUGAUGCAACAAAUCUCACCAAGGUACCCUUCCAGGUCUGGUACCCUCCCAGGUCUGGUACCCUUCCAGGUCUGGUAUCCUUCCAGGUCUGGGACAACCAACAUGAUGAUGAGAGACUAGUUGUUGGCUGGAGUGUUAGAGAAUACCGAGACAACACUGAUGUAUCACCAGAGAUAACAAAGAAAUUCUUCAGGUUGUUGAUUCUUUAGAGAUAAGUGAUGUGCGGGUCUUCUAUGAGAAUAUGGUAGUUACUAUGGUUCAAAGAUACUACCCUUCAGUCACUGAGCUUCAAGAAACCAAACCUAAGGGAUACUGUCUCACCUGAAGAAGUUGCCAUCUGUUUGUCCAGUUUGUCAGUGGUUCUUCUUACUCCCGAGACUGAACUGCCCAAACCAGAUCAUAUAGAGACAUACUGGAUAUCUGUCUGGGAAAUGAAGCUCCACACUGGAAAGGAAAGGUGUAUUAAACUGAGUAAGAUGUCUUUACUUCUCCUGUCACUACUGCACUGCAAUGCUGAUUCAGAGCCGUCCUUCAGCAUACUGAGGAAGAUACAGGCUGACAGCAGGAGCAACCUAGCUCUGGAAACCAUUCAGAACUUGAUGUCUGUGAAAAUGAACAAUCACUCUAUAUGUUAACAUUCUCUUCAUCUCAUGAACUUAUUAGAGAGGGAAAGUCAGCGUGUAAUGUAUACACUCGUAAGUGAAGACCGCAUAAAUGAUGUGUUACUUGCUGAAAUACUAAAUUGUGCUUUUAAUAUUUUUAUAAAGUGUCUAUGGUUAAGUGGAGACAACUUGAUUUGUAUUCAUUGUGAUAUCUGGAUAAGAGGACAUCAGUUAUGAAACAGAAAAGUGAUAUUGAUAUGUCAUAUAUAUAUAUUGUGUUGUUAAAAUAGUAUAAUGUUUUCUGUUAGUAUUUUGAAGUGAAUAUAUUUAAGAGUAGAAUAAAAGAUAACAUAAAUUUUUGGAUUUUGUCUGUAAAAUUGUGUGAUUGUGAGCUUAAAUUAUGUCGAUAAAAAAAAAGUUUUGAGACCCAAAGAGCAGCUGAAAAAUAGCAAACCUCCAGUUUUGGGAUUCUGAACCUAUCACAUUUUUGAGACCCAAACAGCAGCUGAAAAAUAGCAAACAUCUAUUUUUGGUAUGCUGGGAAUACAUUAUUUUUAGCUUGAAUAUACCAAGUACAUGGAUAGAUAUUUUACUCACCCCGGCGGCGGCGGCGGCAUUCCCUGUCCCCACCUUGGUUAGAGUUUUUUUAACACUCUUUUUUUCUUCUUAUCUUCAUAAUUACUUGAUGGAUUUGUUUCAAACUUAAAAUAGUCAAAUAGUUAUUCCUCAUCAUCACCCACAUCAUAUGGCACAAGGUCCAUAACUCUGGUACCAAUAUUUUAUGAAUUAAUCCCUUACUUUUACUUAGAAUUUCAGGUUAAAGUUUUGGUGCACUUUCAAACUUUCUUUGCUUGAAAUCGUAGCAGUUGUUUCUUUCAUCUCUUUCAAGUGUCUUGAAUUUUUUUUUUCUUUUUAAGAAAGAACAGAUCAAAUAAAUAGGAAAUUAAUUUUCUGAUAUUUUUAUGUCUUUUUUAAAUAAGCUGAUUUUCUAAAUGUUUUAAUGCUCUGAAAUAAUUAUAUGG